rnacentral:rRNA from 1 species
UACGUAGGGUGCAAGCGUUAAUCGGAAUUACUGGGCGUAAAGCGUGCGUAGACGGUUAUUUAAGUCGGGUGUGAAAGCCCCGGGCUCAACCUGGGAAUUGCAUUUGUGACUGCAUCGCUGGAGUACGGCAGAGGGGGAUGGAAUUCCGCGUGUAGCAGUGAAAUGCGUAGAUAUGCGGAGGAACACCGAUGGCGAAGGCAAUCCCCUGGGCCUGUACUGACGCUCAUGCACGAAAGCGUGGGGAGCAAACAGG